rnacentral:rRNA from 1 species
UGGGGAAUAUUGCACAAUGGGCGAAAGCCUGAUGCAGCAACGCCGCGUGAGUGAUGAAGGCCUUCGGGUUGUAAAGCUCUGUCUUUUGGGACGAUAAUGACGGUACCAAAGGAGGAAGCCACGGCUAACUACGUGCCAGCAGCCGCGGUAAUACGUAGGUGGCGAGCGUUGUCCGGAUUUACUGGGCGUAAAGGAUGCGUAGGUGGAUGUUUAAGUCAGAUGUGAAAUACCCGAGCUUAACUUGGGUGCUGCAUUUGAAACUGGAUAUCUAGAGUGCAGGAGAGGUAAGUGGAAUUCCUAGUGUAGCGGUGAAAUGCGUAGAGAUUAGGAAGAACACCAGUGGCGAAGGCGACUUACUGGACUGUAACUGACACUGAGGCAUGAAAGCGUGGGUAGCAAACAGGAUUAGAUACCCUGGUAGUCCACGCCGUAAACGAUGAGUACUAGGUGUAGGGGGGUCCAACCUUCUGUGCCGCAGUUAACACAAUAAGUACUCCGCCUGGGAAGUACGAUCGCAAGAUUA